rnacentral:rRNA from 1 species
AUUGAACGCUGGCGGCAGGCCUAACACAUGCAAGUCGAACGAGUGGCGGACGGGUGAGUAAUGUCUGGGACACUGCCUGAUGGAGGGGGAUAACUACUGGAAACGGUAGCUACUACCGCAUACCAUCAGAUGUGCCCAGAUGGUAUUAGCUAGUUGGUGGGGUAACGGCGCACCAAGGCGACGAUCCCUAGCUGUUCUGAGAGGAUGACCAGCCACACUGGACCUGGUACACGGUCCAGACUCCUACGGGAGGCAGCAUUGGGGAAUAUUGCACAAUGGGCGCAAGCCUGAUGCAGCCAUGCCGAGUGUAUGAAGAAGGCCUUCGGGUUGUAAAGUACUUUCAGCGGGGAGGCGUUACCCGCAGAAGAAGCACCGGCUAACUCCGUGCCAGCAGCCGCGGUAAUUC